GCCAGGAUAGCUCAGCGGUAGAGCAGAGGACUCAUAAGCCUUUGGUCGGUGGUUCGAAUCCACUUCCUGGCA
rnacentral:tRNA from 1 species